GUGAUGUUGCUCAGGGGUAGAGCACUUGCCUAAUAUGUGCAAGGCCCUGGGUUCCAUCCCCAGCAAUGCACA
rnacentral:tRNA from 1 species